CAACAAAAUAUGAUUGAGGAAUUUGUAAAUGUGACAAUAAGUUAAAACUGUUUUUCUGUCCAUCAGUCUUUUACAUCAUAAUGAAGGAUUUCAGUCAGUCUUCUGUACAAAAGUUGUGGAGCUGUCUGAACAGUUUUUUGUAAAUUAGUGAAUAUAAUGACCCAUUGCUUUGCAACUAAAAGUAUUCUCAAUUGUAUUGAAUAAUUAAAAAGCAUACAAAAGUGCAAAGGUGAUUUUUAUUUUACAAUUUGCUAAACUGUCUUAUUUACGGUAUUUUGUCACAGCUUCUGCAGAUCAAAGGGUAAAAAAAACCCUGUCAUGCUUAUUGCAGCACAAGUGAAGAUAACUUGAGAAAAUAGCGUUGUCCCAUUAAAGCUGCCUUAACACACAACAUGGUUUAAGGUUUCUUGAUGCUUCACAUCAGAAUUUACCAGAAACUGAACUGCUAGCAGCCUUUUUGUUCCUCCAUGUUUGUUUUAAUCCAACCAUGAGCAUUGCAUUAGUCAUUUCCAAAAGCAUAAAAAAAAUAUAUUUUUUAUUUGGUCAUCUGAUUUGUUUUUUCUGUUUACUUUUGCUCAGAACUGUACAUGACAUGGUAGUAAAUGAGUCUUUACUUUGUGUUUUAUCUGUUAAAGCAAGUUAAACCUUUAACAGAAAACAUCCUGUAUAAACUGUGAUGCUUCAUUUUCUCCUUGUUCUGCAGCCCCAGUCUGGUGGUUAUAUUUACACACUACGGAGAAAGUUUGAUUAGAAAUAAUUUGUUCAUUUUUGCUGCUAUAAAAUGGGAUGUUGGGAUAAUUUGGUCCAUCAGAUAAAGUCUAAUGUCAGCAAAAACGCUUCCCCCCGUACACAAGUCAGCAGUCAUGAAAAUAGAUUAAACUUUCAAGAGUCAGCAUCUGUUUGUUCCAGCUUGAAGGUGAUAAAUAAUGAAGGGGGAACAAAAAGAAUCACGGUAAGCACGGAGACAAGAGACCCCAGCUGUUCGGAGACCACUGAUGAUGCUUGCUGACCGUCACAAAGUGCUGGCCUUUCUUUACACCCACGUUUAUGUGGCAUCAGCUGAAGCUAAUACUUAGGGAUGCAUGAGUACACAGCCAAGAUCCAAACACACCUCACUCUGGAACAAAAGUUGGAAGAAAACACAAAACUAAACAUGUGGAUACAUUUUUUUCCCUCCCCUGAGCGGAGAUGUUAGACUAUAAAUAUUAGGUAGUCUGUAGUAGACUCUCAAAAAGGACUGCUGGAAUCUGGAUUUGACUUCACAACUUGAAACUUAUUGAGUAAGGGUUGAUACGUCUUUCAUUUCACGAUGUCAGAACCAGCAGAUAAUGUUCAGCGGUCCUCGUCAUGGCUGCUGUUUGCCCUCAUCCUUCUGUUGUGCAGCGAAACCUUGGAAGCUUCUGUGUACCGCCAAAAAGGUAUCUGUUCGUACAAGGAUAAGCUCUUCAAACCUGGGGAUACCUUCAGGAGAGGCUGUGAUAAGUGCUUCUGUCAUGAGUUUGGAUUUUACUGCUACUCGCCGAUGAAACCUACCUCAUGGCCGAAGAAGUGUCAUCGGGUGCGGACAGACUGCGGCUAUAUGGUCGUUUACAAAGAAAACCCACUGGUGGAGUGCCGCGCCUACAGCUGGAUUGGUUGAUAUAACAGAGAAAAACCAAACAAUGUUCAUGUCUCAUUACUUUUUAGGUCUGUCCAACAGACUUGGGCAUUUUACCUUUGAUGAUGUAGAAGAUUUUAGUGAGGGCACUACUUGAUGUACAAAUGAAAACCGUUGGUUAAGCAGUUGAACCAAAGUUGAGGGGCCUUAGAGUGUGACGUAGAAUUCUGUGCUUUCUCCACCUGCUUUGGUUUAACUCUGGAGGAUGAAAUUGAUAAGUUUUCUCAGUCAAAGACAUUAGACACAAAGUCACAUCCGCAGUGGAUUUAUUAGCCAGGCUUCAUCAAUCGUGUCCUCAACCCACUUCGUCAUAAAACACCAAUAAUCAAUAUAAAAGAUUUAAACUGUGGUGGUACAUAUGCUUUCAUUAAGCCCUUGUACAACUGAUUUAGUCAAGUCAUUGCUGCUGCUGUUUACUAUAUGUAAAGCUGAACAGUUUAACAUGGAUUGCAUGGUGUAAGAGAUGCAAUGACAGACAGAACUAAAAGAGGCUAAACCCAGAAUGGUAUUUCAAGUCAAUCUGACAAAGUUUAAUCUCAAGAAUAUCAUGCAAUAUGAAACGGAUUCAGACUGACAGUGGGUAAAAAGAUAUUUAAGCUUAUUUAAAUUCCAUAUUAAGAUAAUUGUCUUUUUAUUUUAUUUUACUUUCAGUUUGUUUACUUUUGGCUGGUGGAUGUCCAAGUCAGGGUCUUUUGUUGGUUUUACUGCUCAGUGAUUUGCAGGAACAAACUCCCAAACAUUAAAACCAACAGUUCUGAAAGGCAGGAAAACCACCGAGCAUUUCUUCAGUAUUUUGUGAUUGUUCCCCACUAAACUCACUCCCUGGUGUGGUUCUGUCCGUUCAUUUUAACAGCUAGAAACUAACUUGUUCCUGCUAAAAGUGCUUUUAUGUUAGACAGUUUGAGUUUGCUAUAGUGCUACGCUAACAUAUGCAGUUUUGAUUGAAGUCCAGUCAGUCGUUUACUUUUUUAACGUCUUAAUAUAACCAUUUUUUAAGCUGCACUCUAUGAAGCUGACAGAAAGCUGCCACAGCCAACAGUCUCUCUUACUGCUAAUGUUUCAGAAACCUGGCAUGUAAAAAGAUACCGAUCAUUUAAAAGUGCCUUCACUGGCAACGUUAAGAUACCUAGAAUCAGAUCGAGACAUUUCUUCAAUUGUCAAGUUCUGAAAUAGAACUUUUAAAGACUGACGAUAUUUAGUCAUUUUUAACAUUUUAUGGUUUAAUUUAUUUCUUAUGCAUUCAUUUUAUGGAUACUGAUGAACGUUAAUUGUGAAAUGUAUUUUCCUUGGACUCCAC